rnacentral:tRNA from 1 species
GCCGAAGUGGCGGAAUGGCAGACGCGCUAGACUCAAAAUCUGGUGUCCUCACGGACGUAAGGGUUCAAGUCCCUUCUUCGGUACCA